ensembl:lncRNA
GCUUCCCAUGGGUUUCAGAUGUGGUUCAAGGGUACCUCACACGUGGGUCCGGCACGGAUCAGUUGUGGCUCACACACGGUUCAAAUGGAAUUCAGGCAUGGCUGACACAUGACUUGUGUGCGUCACAAAUGCUACAGGAGACUUUCACACAUGAUUGAGGCAUGGCACACACAUUGUUCAGAUGCAGCUCAGCGAAGGCUCACACGUGAUGCAGGCAUGAAACAGAAGUGGGUCGCAUGUGGCUGACACACGACUCAGGCGUUUGUCACACAUGGCUCCCACAUGGCUCCCACAUGGCUGAGGUGUGGCUCAUGCAUGACUGUGGUGCUGCUCUGGCGUGGCUCACGCUUGUUGUUAGCAUGGUUGGCAAGUGGUUCAGGCCUGGCUGGCAGGUGGCUCGAGCGUGGCUGCCACAUGCUUCAUGUGAGGCUGACCUGUGGUUCAAGUGUCUCUGGCACUUGGUUCAGGCCUGGAUGGCAUGUGACUUUGGCACGGCUGAGAAGUGACUCAGGCGUGGCUCACACGUUAUUCAGGCGAGGCUGACACAUGACACAGGCGAGGUGGCCAAAGGACACAGGAGUGCCUGACACGUCACGCAGGUGUGGUUCACACAUGGUUCAUGCAUGGCCUUCGUGUGUUUCAGGCGUGGCUGAUGCACGGUUCACGCAUGGGUGGCAGGUGGUUCAGGCGAGGCUGACAUGUGACUCAGGCAUGUGUGAAACAUGACUCUGGUGUGGCUGACACAUGUCUCAGGGGUGGCUGACACGUGACUCAGGCCUUCAUCGCACAGUAUCCAUGCGUGGCAUAUGCUUGCUUCACCCAUGGGGGACAUGUCGUUCUCUUGUGGCUCCCACGUGUCUCACACAUUGCGGACAUAAGGCUCCCACAUACUCAGGCGUGUCUGGCACGUGGUUCACAGAUGGCUCAGCCAUGUUUCACGUGUGGCUCCCAUGUGCCUCAUGUGUGGUUCAAGCAUUGAACAUGUGUGCUUCACACGUGCUUCACAUGUGGUUCGAGUGUGUCACAUGUGGUUCAGGCAUGGUUCAGGGAGGCUCACACGUGGUUCAGGUGGAACUCAGGUGUGGCUCACACAUGACUCAUGUGGAGGUCUCAUAUGGUUCAGGGAGCUUUCAUCCGUGAUUAAGCCGUGGCUCACAGGUGGUUCAGCCAUGGCUGACCUAUGGCUCAUAUGUAGUUCAGGCGUUCCUCUGCCCCAGGUCAGGUGUGGCUGACACAUGAUUCAGGAGUGUGUCACAUGUGACUAACACAUUUCUCUGGUGAGGAUCACGCAUGGGUGGGGCGUUGAUCUGACCUUGCUCACAUGUGGUUCUGGCGUUUCUGACACCUGUGUCAUGCGUGGCACGUGUUUUGUUCAGAUGCGGCUGACAUGUGACUCAGGCAUGUGUGAAACAUGCCGGGUGUUGAUGACAUGUGACUCAGGCGUUCAUCGCACGGUAUCCAUGUGUGGCAGACAUGUGGGCACGUGUGUGUGACAUGCCCUACAAGUGUGGCUCCCACGGGUCUCACGGGUUGCUUAAACGUGUCUCCCACGUACUCAGUCAUGGCUGGCACGUGGCUCACGCAUGGCUCAGCUGUCUUUCAUGCGUGGCGCCCCUGUGGUUCAUGUGUGGUUCAAGCAUCGCACAUGUGUAUUUCAGAUGUGGUUCAAGGGUGUCUCACAUGUGGUUCAUGCACAGUUCACACAUGGAUCGGGUUUGAUUCAGGCAUGGCUCACACAUGACUAGUGUGGGUCACAUAUGGUAGAGGACAUUCUCACACAUGGUUCUGGCCUAACUCAGCCAUGGUUCACAAGUGAUGCAGGCGUACCACAGAACUGGCUCACCUGUGGCUGACACAUGAUUCAGGCUUUUGUCACGCAUGGCUCCCACAUGGCUAAGGUGUGGCUCAUGCAUGGCUGUGUUGGUCAGGCGUGGCUCACAUGUGUUUAUCUAACGGUGAGCACGUGGAACAGGCAUGGUGGGCACGUUGUGCCUGUGUGAGGACAUGUGCUUCAAGUGAGGCUGUCCUGUGGCUCAAGUGUGACUGGCACUUGGUUCAGGCCUGGAUGGCAUGUGACUUUGGCACUGCUGAAAAGUGACACAGGUGUGGCCCACAUGUUAUUCAGGCGAGGCUGACACAUGACACAGGUGAGGUGGCCAAAGGACACAGGAGUGCCUGACACGUCACGCAGGUGUUGUUCACACAUGGUUCAUGCAUGGCCUUCGUGUCUUUCAGGCGUGGCUGGUGCAUGGUUCACGCAUGGGUGGCAGGUGGUUCAGGUGAGGCUGACAUGUGAUGCAGGCAUGUGUGAAACAUGACUCUGGUGUGGCUGACACAUGUCUCAGGCGUGGCUGACACAUGACUCAGGCCUUCAUCGCACAGUAUCCAUGCGUGGAAUACACUUGCUUCACCCAUGGGGGACAUGUCGUUCUCUUGUGGCUCCUACAUGACUCACACGUUGCUGACACGAGGCUCCCACAUACUCAGGUGUAUCUUGCACAUGGUUCACGAAUG